rnacentral:rRNA from 1 species
AUUAGUUUUUUAAUUGAAGGCUAGAAUGAAUGGUUGGACAAGAAAUAAUCUGUCUUAAUUAAAUAAAUUGAAUUUAACUUUUAAGUGAAAAGGCUUAAAUAAUCUAAAGGGACGAUAAGACCCUAUAAAACUUUAUAUUUAAUAAUAGUAAUUAAUUUUAUUUUAAGAGUAUUAUUUAAAAAUAUUUGGUUGGGGUGACAAGGAUAAAAUAUAAAAUAACUGUCUUUUUUUAUUACAAUAAUAUUUGGUUUAAUGAUCCUAAAAUGGAUUAAAGAUUAAGUUACUUUAGGGAUAACAGCGUAAUUUUCUUUAAGAGUUCUUAUCGACAAGAAAGUUUGCGACCUCGAUGUUGAAUUAAAA